rnacentral:other from 1 species
GGCAGGCUGCGAGGUGCGUUAGGAGCACACAUUCCCAGGGCCCUAUAAGAUCCUAAGGGAGCUGACCCUGACGGGGACCGUGGUCUCCGCCACUUGGCGCCCACCUACAUAAUGUAGGGACACCCGGGAUCAAUCGCUCCGACGGCCAUCGUGGCCUUGCC